UACGAAGGGGGCUAGCGUUGUUCAGAAUUACUGGGCGUAAAGCGUGCGCAGGCGGCUUCUCAAGUCAGGGGUGAAAGCCCAGAGCUCAACUCUGGAAUUGCCUUUGAGACUGAGUGGCUUGAGUACGGGAGAGGUGAGUGGAAUUCCCAGUGUAGAGGUGAAAUUCGUAGAUAUUGGGAAGAACACCGGUGGCGAAGGCGGCUCACUGGCCCGUAACUGACGCUCAUGCACGACAGCGUGGGGAUCAAACAGG
rnacentral:rRNA from 1 species